rnacentral:rRNA from 1 species
UACGUAGGGGGGCAAGCGUUGUCCGGAUUUAUUGGGCGUAAAGAGCUCGUAGGCGGCUUGUCGCGUCGUCCGUGAAAACCCACAGCUCAACUGUGGGCUUGCGGUCGAUACAGGCAGGCUAGAGUUCGGUAGGGAGACUGGAAUUCCUGGUGUAGCGGUGAAAUGCGCAGAUAUCAGGAGGAACACCGGUGGCGAAGGCGGGUCUCUGGGCCGUAACUGACGCUGAGGAGCGAAAGCGUGGGAGCGAACAGG